UGUGAGAUAACAAAUACUUGUUAUUUUAAGCCAUUAACUUUCAGGGUUAUUUGUUACACAGCAAUAGAUAACUAAUACAUAUGGUUUACCAGAUUUCUUCAUUGUAAAGGUAAUUUUUCCCUUUUGUAAUUAAUGAGUCAUUUAUUACCUCCGAGAUCCUGGGAAUACUCUGCUCUAAUUCUUGCACCCAAUGAUUUUAGCACCCAACAAUAUCCUUGAUGUCUUCGGUAUCUCCCUUUUGUGAGGUACAAGUAAAGUGACCUCUUUUCUCUUCUUCCAAGAAGAUGGUGGGGCAAGGGGCCCAACCAGUCCAAUCCAUUUUCAUCUGUUUCCCUUCCAGGAGUUUCCUGUCCCAAGGAGUCCUAGAUGGGGACGGUCACUUAGGUCUCAUUGGAGAGUUGGUACCACAUGGGGGAGAAAGCUGUCCCAUAUCCCUCUUAGCUGGAGAAGCAGGUACUCAGAGCUACCCUUGGCUUGCUUCUGGAGUUUAAGGACUUUCUCUACACCCAGGUUAUAAAUAAAUCUCCCCAUGUUUUCUUCUAAUACAUGUGUGGUUUCAUUUUUUACACUUAAAUUUUUGAUCUAUUUGGAGUUUAUUCUGGUCAGUGAUAAGAGGUAUGGGUCCAAUUUUCCCAAAGUCCAAGUUUUGAAUGGCUCCAUGGAGUGGGGCUGGGGUGUUGUAGGGAAAACGAACUGCCAUCCUUAUGGUCUGGCCACUAGGUGGCAUCCCCUCAGGUUCAUUUCUUUGGGAUUGUAGGAGGAAAUGCUGUAAGCCUUCUGAUGAAAAAGGAAAUGACUAGUUAGGUUUAAUUGGCCAAGAGGAAGCCCUAGUGUGAAGUGCCUGUCCAUCCAUAAAACCUGGACUUCUGUAGGCAGGCUCUGUGCUUCUUUUCAUGUGUUAGAAAAUAUCACAACCCUGCGUCUCUGUUUCUCACCAGGAGGCUGAUGUAGGCUGAGGGGAUGUGUGUGCAAAUAUUGCCUUUGCAGGGUCUCCAGGCACUGGGGAGAGAAGUCAAGAAAAGCCAAGAUGGCCACUGCCCUGAUUUGCACUUCUUCGGGAGCCUGGGCCUGGGGGUGAUGGCCAUCCUGACCCAAUGCUGCUGUCAACUGGCCAUUAUUGCGGGUGUGCCACUUACCCUUCUAUUCCUCUGUCUCAUCGUAAGUGAAAUGGGACAAUACCUUCCCUGCCUAUGUGUCAAGGAUAUCAAUGGAAUAAAUGGUGUAAUAAAUAAAAAUAUGUGCUGCAAAAUAGAAGACACUGUACAAAUUUGUUUUUUUUUUAACCAUUAUUAUGAUUAUGUUUUAUUUUAUAUGGGCUGUAUCUCUUUGGAAAAUAUAAUAGUCAUAAGAAUAUGUAUUUAUAGACUGGUUGUUUAUAAGGUAGUUUUUCCAUGUACCCUCUUUUUUGUGGAAGGGACACAGCCUUAAUAAGAAAAUGGGCUAAUUUAAAAAAGACUGCCUAAGUAGAGACACAAAGGAGUCUCUGGUUAAGAGCUCAACUACUAACAGAAAGGUUGGUGGUUUGAAUCUACCCAGAGGUGCCUCAGAAGACAGGCCUGGUGAUCUGCUUCUGAAAGGUUGCAGCCUUGAAAACCCUGUGGAACCAGGCUAACUGGACCAGUCGAGACCAGAAGACUCCCUGAGACUAUCAUCCCGAGAUACUCCUUAAACCUUGAACUGAAACUAUCCCAUCAGGUCACCUUUUAGUGAAAUAAUGGAUUGGAACACAAAAUAAAGAAUAUUAUCCAUAAGUGCCAUGCUCUACUAAAAAACCAUCUGUAUGAAGCCAAAAGGUCAACAUUUACUCUAAAGCAAAGAUGAGAAAACAAGAGGGCAGGGAAACUAGAGUCCCUGAAACGGAACAACCAGAACACAAUUAAAGAGAAUGGUGACACAUUGUGAAAAAUGUGAUUAAUGUCACCAAACAGUUUGUGUGGAAAUUGCUAAGUGGGAACCUAAUCUGUUGUGGAAACUUUCACCAAAAACUCAGUAAAAUAUUAUUAAAAACAAAACAAAACAAAAACCCCUAUGAAGCAGUUCUACUCUGCACACAUGGAAUCGCUGUAAGUUGAAAUCGAUUUAAUGGCAACUAACAACAAAGUAGAGAACCUAGGAGGGGACCUCUGAGAGCUUUUAUACAGGUCACCAAAUCCUCUGAAAUUGUGUACAAAAUUACAUAUGUAUGUAUUUUCCACAGUUCAUAUCAGAUUGCAAGGCCCCUGGAUGCCGCAAGUGGUUUGCAUUUGACUACCAAUACAAGGGUUGGAGGUUCCGACCCACCCAGCGGUGCCACGAAAGAAAGGCCUUGCAAUCUGCUUCAGUAAAGAUGACGGCCCAGGAAACCCAAUGGAGCAGUUCUACUCUGUAACACAUGGGGUCGCUAUGAGUCGGAAUCUACUCCACGGCAACAGGUCUUUUGCUUAUAUCAGAUUGCUAAAGUGAUUUGAGGUUCAAAAGUGGUUACAAAUCACAAUCUUAGAUGAAGGAGCAAGGGUGGCCCAGAGUCCCCUCCCCACUUGGCUCCUGAAAGAACCGAACUGGUUCUAGCCCCUCUCUGACUAUUAGAUGGACCUGGGCCUGGGCCUGGGCACCAGGGUCUUAUGGCUGCUAUGGUCACUUCUUGCUGUCUAAGGUUAGCUGGUAUGAAGAGAAGAAGAAAUGAGAUGUGGGAAGGGCUUGUAGUGCCUAGAAAUUAAAGAUGAAACUAAGGAAGUAUGGCUCCAGCAGCAGCUCAGCAAAUAGAUCAGAAAACAAUUAGUCUUGCAAAACUCUUUUUCUCACGUCAUAGUGGUCUUCUUUCUGUUUCUCAAUUGUGCCAAGGGCAUUCCUACCUUAGGGCUUUUUGCAGAGUGUCUUUCAUUUUCCUAGUAUGUUCUUGCCCUGACUCUUCUCUGGUCUCAAAUGUCGGCUCGAAUGUCAUCUCCUCAGAAAAGUUCACCCCCAGCGUGAUUAUCUUCCCAUAGCACUUAUUACCAUGAGAAAUCAUCUUUUUAUUGGUUUACCUGUUGGUUGUCUUCCUGGCCCCCAUCCCCCAACAGAAUAAAAACAUCCUUGGGCAAGACCUUGCCUCUUCAUCUCGACCUUAUUCCCAGCGCCUAUAACAGUACCCGACAUGGUGGGCCCUCUACACAGGCUUGUUGAAUGGAUGUGUGCAGCAUAAAAGGUAGUGUGUUCUUGUCAGCAUCUUUGACUCUUCUGUCUCCUUCAGUGCCAAUGUCUAAGCUGUCAAAUCCUGUGUGUUCCACUUCUGAAAAGUCUCUCACAUCUAUUCCUCUCUCCACUCCUGCUCCUCACCCCCCACAGUCACUGCUCAGUUCAGAACCUCAUCGCCUCUCACCUUCUAACAGCCCUAUACUUUUCUCCCUGUCUCCAAAACCAAAAAGCAAACAAACAAAACCAGUCACCAUAGAGUCGAAUUCCAUUCAUGACAAUCUCAUGUAUUAUAGAACAGAAAUGUGCUCCAUAGGGCUUUUAAGGCUGUGAUCCUCCAGAAGCAGAUCACAAGGCCUUUAUUCUGAGGCACCUGAGUGAGUGAACCAUCAAUCUUUCUGUUAAUAGUUGAGCGCUUAAUAGUUUGUGCCACCCAGGGAUUCCUCCCUACCUUCAGAUCCUCCUAAAACACAGGUUUCUGCUCUCCCCAGUACCUUCAGGGCAAAGGCCCUUUAUGGGCUCUGCAUUUUCCCCUUGCUCCCCCAUUCACCCACGACUCCUGGGACUGACCAAGCACCUCAUGUGCCUGUUCCCUCCAUUCUUGGGGCUAAGUCCAAGGGUCUCCCCUGCAGUAACCCAGGGCCCUGCUUUCCUGACCAGCAGACCAGGCAUGGACGUGUUGCCCAAGCAGUCCAGCAGUUCCUUGGGGAUCCCUUGAGAAGAUACAAGCACCUGUCCCUGAGGUUCUUGGAGCUUCUCAAGGCAGCAUGUUAGGGCAUGUAUUUGAGGAGAAGCUGGGUGCAACAGCCAGGGAGAGCUUCCUGUUGAUGUCUGAGGAACAGGCUGAAAAGGGCCUCCCACAGAGCAGACCUGGGGGCCCCAGAGAGCUCCUGGGCAAAGAGCUGAGCCUGGCCUGCUACAAACCAGUCAAGUCCUUUUAAGAGCUGAAAUGAGCAGCUUGCAGGUAGUGAGAUAACCUUGCCCCUGCCUGUCACAUAGCCAUGGAUAACUUUCCCAGAGUGAGCAGACAGGCUAUAUGAUAACCAGAGGGGAGAAAGCAAACCCAGGGAGACAGAAGACGUUGGCUUUAGUGAAAGAACAAAUCCUGACCGUGAUCAAUGAUGUGGCCCUUCUCAUUCCAUCAAAAGCUGUUACCAGGUGUUGCUGGGCAGCGGUUACUGUUGCUUGUACUUCAGAAAAAAACCACAUUAAAACUAAAAUGGAAAAAAAAACUAAAAUGGAAAAUUUUUUCUUAUAAAAAACACUAUUUUCUGCAAGUUAUUAUCCUUAAGUAUAUUUAUUUUUAAUGCAAAUGUCUAAAUUCAUUUACUCUCUAGAGAUCAUUUCAUCUUGUACUGUAUGCUAUUUCAGUAGAAAAAAAAUGCUUUCCCCAAAUGUGUCAGUCCUACUUCUGAAAAGGUUCCGUGACCUAUUUCUGUAAUUCUUAUAGACACUGAAAGAACAGCAGAAUCUAAUAGGCUCAAUUCAGUCACUAAAAAGUUACCCCUGCCAGGUGUUGCCUAGAAAGGUGCCCACCAUCUUGCUUUGCAGUCAAGGAGCAUAAACAAGUAAAGGAGCAGUGUCGGGAUGGGGACAUGGGUGCGUGCACACAUACUCACACAGACACACACUCUUCUCCAUUUCUGAACAAUGUCAUGAUGACUAUAGUCCAAUAUUAGGCAAUUUCUCACAUUAGGAGAUUGCCCAAAAACCAACCAUUUCCUGGACAAAGAACUUGAAAACACAAUUCACAAAAGAGGAACUACAACUCAUGGACUAAUGUGUAGAAAAAUAGUUAACUCCAUUAGCAAUCAAGAAAAUAAAAAUUACAGCAAUGUCACUUUCCAAAACAAAUCUAUGGUGUGAGAAGUCAGGAUAGUGAUACUCCAGUGCAAUGAGUUUCUCUUUGUAUAUGGCCUUUCUGACCCUGGGUUUGUAAUUCUGCCAAGAUGAUUUGCUAGGCCACAAUCUUGCAAAGGGAUUGGACAGUUUACAAUGCAAAUAAGGUUAAAGAGGCAAAUCCCACAGAGGCUGAGGGGGACCUCACUACCAUCAAGAAGAAUCGGGGGCAAAGCUUAUCCUUUGGAUUGGGAUCACUGUGCUGAGAACCUCCUAGAUCUAGGAAAGAGAGAGAUCUGUAACACUGGAGAUGGCAGAAGACGGCACAAGACGGCUGCAGUGGGCUCACUGACCCACAGAGGGAGAGAGCUGAGCACCUUUGGGCAAAAAGCUUGCUGGUGGAGUAGGGUGCCUCCGGGCACUUGACAGGGGAGCCAAAGAGCUAUAACACUUGCCCAAGCAGGGCCUAGUGGCAGAACCUGAGACUAAGGCCUGCCUGCGGGCACGGCGGAGAAGAAGCUGAGAGCUGUCUUUGUUGGAAGCUGUUCUGACUGAAAAACUGUAUUCUGAGUUGUUCCUAUUGCUUCCAAGUUGAUCCCAAUUCUGCAUUGUAGCCUGUUACUUACCUACUAAACCACAUAAUUGUGAGUAUGGUCUGUGAGUCCCGUGUGGCCAUUGCAAUGAAAUAUCAAGCCUAGCAGAGAAGUAGAGAGUGCUGUGGGAGGGACAGCCGGUGUCAGAAUUAGCAAAAAGUUUGGAGAGUGGAGGUAUGUCUGACUACUUGCAGGAAUCAGCUUUGGGCUGAUGGUGGUUCUCCUCUCUUCUCCUGAAGUUAGAGGACUUCUGAUGCCUCUGUGUUACACAUACAUUUGGGUGGAGUGGAGGUGAGCGGAAAGGGGCAUGACAGGGGCUUCUGGGUUCUGGUGGUGGUCUGUUUCUUCAUCUGGUGCUGGUUAUUCAGGGGGUGUUCACUUUGUGAAAUUCAUGGAGCUAUUUUUUUAUUCACUUAUGAUUUAGAUACUUUUCUGAAUGCAUGAUAAUCUUCACUAUAAGUUGAAAUUAAAAAAUAAGCUCGCCUUGUUCUACCUAUUAAAUUAGCAAAAGUAAAUAAAUAAUGAUAAUAAUUUGCUUUAGUGAUAAUAGCCAGUGCUGGUGAAACCAUCGUGGAGCUGAAAUUUUCACAUAUUGCUGGUCACAAUGUAUAUUAAACACAGCCUUCUUUGGGGAGUAAGUUGGCAAUACAUAUAUUAUAUAUAUAUAUAAUAUUAUUUAUGAUAGCAAAAAUUAUAACAGCAAAAUGCUGAAAGCAAUAUAAAUGGGCAACUAUAGGACAACAGUUAAGUAAACUUUGAUAAAUCCACAUGAUGACAUUUUACACACUCAUUACCAUAAACUAAACUGAGUAAUGACAGAAGAAUAGAGUAAGUAGGAAAAGUAGUGUAUGAAAUUGUAGACAUGAUUACAACUACAUUUAAAAAAAUAAAAUAAAGAAGGGGGCAACCCUACAUAGAUUAAGACUCAGCAGAAGAUAAAAAAGUGAAGAAUGUUUGUGUUUGGAUGACAUAACUACUGGUGAUCUUUUUUAAAUGUACUUCCCCAUGAAUUUUCUAAAUUUCUUAAAGAGCCUGUAAAGGAUAGAAUUUUUAGAGUCAGUCUUGUUCAUGAACAUCAGAAGUGCCUUCCUGGUUCAGUUUCAGAAGGAGCUGCCUUCUGGUGGUCCCAGGUCCCCUAUGCCUUUCGUGGUCUAUGCUUUGGGGCCUAAUGUCACCAUUUGGGGCUGAAUGGAACCAGUAUGAUUUAGGAGCAAGCUGACUACCCCUUCUUCCUUGUUUCUGCAGGGCUCAUUGAAAACUGUCACCUCUCAGGGAGAGCAUAUUGAAGUGAGGUGUAUUCAAUAUCUGUCAGCCUAGAUCUCUUCUUAUCCCCAAGCCCAUAUAUCAAUCCAUACAUCUAACAGUCUCCUGGAUUCCACUUGGGAAUCUUUCAGGUGCCUUUGAGUUCCUGCGCCCCAAACAAAACUUUUCCCGUCCCCCUCAAUUUAGUUCUCUGUCAUUACGUCUGUACUGGGAAAUGGCUCCACCAGCCACCCAGCCUCUUAAACUAGAAAACCAGAAGUCACCCGGAGCCCUCCCUCUACAUAACUUUUGAUCUUUCACCAAGUCCUAUCAAUUCUACCUCCUAAACUUCUCUUUAAUCCAAUCUGUCCUCUCCAUCCUCACUAAUGCAGGCUCGGUUGUGAUGGCCCAGUUAUCCAGUAAGUUCCCUUAAGCUCAGCACCAGUGGUACAAACUUCUCAAGGUCCCUUGAAAUGGGGGGGGGGGGGGAGAAAGCAUUGGUUCCAAAAUAUGCCAAGAAACAUGCAAAAUUUAAAAUUAACACAUUUUUAUUUCAAUGACUAAAAAGAUGUAAAUUAUAUUUAACUCCUUUAAUUGUUAAUUUAUAUUAUAAAAACUGUAUUUUAUAAUAUUUUUAUUAUAAAAACUGUAUUACAUUUGAAAACAACUUAUAGGUUAGACUUGUCUCAUGGAAAAGAGUUUCUGAUUAUUCAUGGCUUUGAGAGAAAUCGUAGCCGAUCAUUUUUGCAGCUGAAUAAUUUUUAAAAAAGCAAAAUCAUAAAAGAUCUCUCAGAAACAGCGAUAUAAUUAUGUUUAAUGUGGAUAGGUGUGCAUUUAAUCCUAUUUCAAGGUGGGCUGGGUUGUCCAAGGAAGAGUGGCUAGGCCUGGAGAUUUUAUAAGCAAGCCAUCUUAUUUCUUUCCUGAGGCAACAAAAUAGCCAAUUGAAAGACCUCUCAUCUCUCCCUUUGCCAAGUUCCAAAAUCCAAAUUUACUCAGGUCAGCCCCUGUUUGGCAUCUUGCAUUGCUUCCUGAGCGCUCUUUAGGGAAACCUGUCCUGUAUUGGGCAUAUGUGACCCAAGGCACUCCCAUUAGAGAGAUGCUCAGAUUUAUGCUGGUAAUUCUGGAACAAAGAGCUUCUCUCCUACUAGAUUUGAACAGGAAAGCUACAUCUCAGGACAUGCUGGCAGACCUUUAAACCAGGAAAGUCAGCUUUAGGAUUCAACUGAUAGAGAGGAAGGCAGAGUGCAACUAGAUGGUUGGUUCCAUUGCUGAGCUGUUGCUGGAUCAAAUCCUGUCUGAAACUACCUUUGGACAUUGCAGAGAGAUGAGCCGACAAAUUCCUCUUACUGUUUAAACCAAUCUGAAUGGGUUUUUCUAUUUCAUGUAAUCAAGAGUAUCUUAACCGGUAUAAAUACCUACUUGGUUAUUUUAAAAAAAGCUCUAUUCCAAUCUGAGAAAGAUAUGCUAGAUGUUUUCACUACAUGAAGCAAUCUAGUCUUCAAACAUCUCUGAGAUAUAGCUGGCAUGAUUCUUUCUAUAAAUGAGUCUCAGACUGUGAAUUCCCUAAGGCCAGCUGACAUGUCUUAUUCAUCUGUAUUUCUCUAGAACUGGGCACUGUGAAAAUAGAUGUUUCAUCAGUGUUUACUGGAUUACCCGAGGUAACAUUUCUGUAUCUGGUGAAGGCAAGAUUUAAACUCAGGAAAUACGAGAUAUGGAACUCUUCACAAGCAAUUCAUGAAGUUACCGAAAAUGAAACUUCAUGAAGUUCUCAAAGCACUCCAGGAGUAGUUGUGAAAUAUGUUGCCCAGUCCACCAGUCAUGUCCCUCCUCUGCUCACACCCUGCAAUGGCUCCUGUCUUGCUCAGAGUUCAAAGUACCAGUCCUACAGAAACCCCAUCACCUCUGCCUACCUUUUCUACUCUGAACCCUCUCGCUCAGCUCACUCCCCUCUACCCACAAUAACCUCUUUGUAUCAGCUUGAACAAAACAGGCACGCUUCUGCCUGAGGCCUUGCUCUAGAUGUUUCCUCUGCCUAGAACUUUCUUCCCCCAGUUAUCUACUUGGCUAACUUCCUCACCCUUCUUAAGUCUUACAUCAUCUCAAUUAAUACUGACCGUCUUUAUUAAUACUGAACUUGCUCCUUUCCCCCAGACCUCGGAAUCUCCUGAUCUCCCUUUCCCUGACCUAUUUUGUUCUUUUGUCCAUAGCAACUAUCAACUACUAACACACUCUAAUUUACUUGUGUAUUAUAUUUAAUGUUUACUGUCAGAAAUCCCCCACUGUAAUAUAAGCUACUUGAAGGCAGGCAUCUUUAUCUAUUUUGUUCUCUAAUCGAUCCUAGGUACCUAGAACAGUACGGGGCUGGGCACUUCGUAGGUUCUCAGUUCCUACUUUUGGAAUAAAUAAAACAAGUUAUCUCAAGUGGGUUGGGACUCCUUCAUGAAGAAGGGCUUCAGCCACCCCUUGGAAGAUGAAUAGCCUUUCCAUGGGAGAGAGAAACAGGGAAGGAAUUCUAAGCAGGGCAGCAGCAUGAACAAAUGCUUAAGGAUAGGAAAAAGUCAUUUGGGGGUGGUGAAUAGAUGGAUUUGGCAGGGGCCAGAUGCUGUGUGUCAAUGAAUGCCGGGGCAGAGAGUUCAGGUUGUCUUUUGUGGGCAAUAGGAGGGGAGGAAAGGUUAUUGAAGAGUUUUGAACAGAAGAGGAACUUGAUGCAAGUGAUAUUUUUGGAAGAUUAAUCUGGGGGUGGGGUGCCUGUUGGGUGGGAGUGGCCCUUCCAGGGUGUUUUCCAUGAUCCCUGCCCCCAUCUUUGCCUUCUGCUUGAGCACCCCAGGGCUCUUCUGUGCCCCUGUUCUCUCUGUGCUCCCACCGCUGCAAAUGAGGCCAUAAUCAGACUCUUAGAUUUGGAGGGAGGAGGCUCUGGCUCUGCCUGCACUCCUUUCUCUAGGUGAAGUCAGGGCAGGCAUUCCCCAUGGCCUCCAGUUAGAAAUGGUGUUUGGCACUUGGAAGCCUUCCUCUUGCUUCUCUACCCUCAAAUUCACGCAGUGACCCCCAGGAGGGAUGAAUGAAUGCUUUGAGAUUUCCCUUAGCAUCACUGAAAUUCCAAAGGAGUAAAAGGCAUGGAGACCUUUGCCUGGUACAUCAAGAACACAGGCAAAUUUAGAAUGGGAACCUUAUGUUACAAUUGCAAGUCAAACUCCAAUAGGGGUAACCAGCCCAUUAGCACAGGAACCUGGAAAUUGUCUUUUCUGCCACCUCUCCAAAGGCAUGCGCGCGCGCGUACACACACACGCGCACACUCUCACAUACACACAUUCAUUGGGUCCUUGAAAGAUCAAGGCCAACUGCAAAGCACCUAAUUCCCCAAGACUCCUAAUUUAUAUUGGGAACUAGCUAUAAAGCUCCCCUGGCCCACAAUCUUCCCUUACAAUGAUAAAGAGCGUGUCACAUCACGCUAAAUGUGACACUUAAUCAAAACCCCUCUUCUUUAACAAACCCUUAACCUCCAGCACACAAGAUCACCAAGGCCAAGGGACAAGACAGGGAGCCGACUCAGGUAGCACAAGCUUUGAUUAAAAUGAUACAGAUUUCCUUUUAUUUCACUUUCAUCAGAGUUAUAAAAUUCUAGAUCUGUCCCCUUUUUGAUUUGACAACAGCACAUUUCAGUAGAGGUUGACACCAAAAAAAGACUGGGCUUGUUCUCCAUUCAACCAGGGAGUAGGUGCUAAUUUUUCUGAAUCGUCUUCAGUAAUGAUCGUCAGAUCUUCUGAUCUUCCCAUUAGCAAGUUUUGCAGGGAACAUGGUUAAACCAAAGCACAAACCUGGCUGGCGUCUGGUUCCUUUCUUAAGUGGUAUCUAAAUACCCUUAAUCUAUAGGCCCUGGAAAAGACCUUCCUUUCUCUGCCUCCUUGCUUGGCUCUUUUUUUUCUGAGACUUAAAUCCACAAGAGAAUUCUUUCUCCAGAUUUCUGGGGCAGGAAAUUUAUUUCCUUGCCAUACAGUACUUUAGACAAGAGCUUAAAACUUCUGGGCUCUCUCACAAUCAUCUACUUCCACAGCAUGGACCGUGGCUUUUCUCGUGACCUAAUUAGGACUUUGUUUUAAAAUUAUUUCAUCAUCAUUGGUUCCAACUAGAAUGUAUUUCUAUCUGUUCGAUAUACAUUUAUUGGAUCUCAGCUAUGAUUGAGGCACAUGAGAAAGAAGGUUUAUUUCUGCUUUCAAGAAACUUUCAGUCUCAAAUAAAAUGCAAUUAAUGCUAAUACAUGAUAGAAUGUGACACGUGGCUACAAGAAUUCCAAUGCAUAGGCAGUUUAUGCAUUCAGGAAGCAAUGAGCACCCACCAUGUGCCAGACCCUGCUCUAGGUUCUGGGAUACAGCAAUAUACAAAAAGGACAACACUCCUGCCCCUAACGUGCUUACAUUCUAAUUGGGAUGUGACAACAUUUUCAACUUUUGUGUAUUUGGCUUUUGAAAAAUUACACUCUCACACCUUCUACAGUAACUCUUUCUUUUUUUUUAAUAAUAUUUUAUUAUGUUUUUGGUGAAAGUUUACACAGCAAAUUAGGUUCCCAUUUGACAAUUUCUACACAAUUAUUCAGUGACAUUAGUUACACUUUUCACAAGGUGUCAGCAUUCUCUUUAAUCGUGUUCUGGUUUACAUUGGCCUUUUUCAAUCACUUUUUGUAGCCUGAUUUUAGACUUUUCAUGACCCCACUGGCAAAUAAAGCAUUUGAGCUCUUGCAUGAUGUCACUGCAGUGGGUCUCCCUUUGUGCAAUGUCACCCUUCUUCUCUGUUCUGCAGUGUUGGCGCCCUUAUUAUUCAAUAUUAAAAAAAAUAUAUUAGGAGCAGAAAAUAAAAAAAUGAAACUGAGAUACUAUUGGUAAGACCUAAAAAAAAAAAAACUAGAGUUCUUAUAAACUUUUAAUUGAGACAAAGGUGGAAAGCUUUAGGAAGAAAAAGGUAAAAUUAAGAACCUAUUUAAAAUCCUAUUAAAAAAAAAACCUGUUGCUGUCGAGUUGAUUCUGACUCAUAGCAACCCUAUAGGACAGAGUAGAACUGCCCCAUAGAGUUUCCAAGGAGCUCCUGCUGGAUUCGAACUGCUGACCUUUUGGUUAGCAGCUGUAGCACUUAACCACUACACCACCAAGGUUUCCUAAAAUUCUAGAGAAACAUCAAAUACUGAGUCUGACAGUUAAGGUGUAAUUAGGAUUUUUAUAUUUAUUUUUCAGCUCUCUGUAGGCCGUCUUUUCUGUGGUGAUAGCUCAGACAGGUUUAAAAAAAAAAAAAAAAUAGGCACUGCCUCUGCAUAGGAAUACCUUCUUCUCACUUAGAAGGGCUAAGUGUUAUGGUCAGUACCAAGAAGGGACCAAGACAUGGCCCAGCCCUUCAGGCUCAGGGACAUAAAAGAAAAUAGAAUACUUAGCAAGUUUCAAUGCUUUCUUAGUUUUGGUUCUCUAGAGUAGUAAAACCAAUGAAACAUACAUACACAUAGAGAGAAAAGAGAGAUUUACUUCAAUGAAUUGGUUCCUGUAGUUCUGGGACUGGCAGUUUCAAAAUCCAUAGUCAGGUGGCAGGCCAGAGACUUCUGCAAGCUUACAUCCCAAGAUCCAUAGGUCAGGCAAGGAGAAGGGGGCCCUGUCAAAAGAGAGUAAGCUCUGCCAAAAUAUCCAUUUAUAUUCUACAGGCAGACCACACCCCCAAAGAAACUCCCUUUUCAACUGGUUGAUCACAUCGAUCGCAUCAUGGAAGGUCAUUACAUUGCAUUGCAUUAAGUUAUAUUCUAGAACAGCAACCAGACCACCUUUUCAAACCACUGAGAAUCAUAGCCUAGCCAAGGUGACACAUAAAAUUAACCAUCACAAAUGCAGAAGGGAAAAAAAUGAUUCUCUAGGAAAGCCUAUGUCACAGACCAAAGAAAGGAGGUAAGAAAAUAGCAAAGAAUCUUAUCCUGAAGUAAAGAAUCUCCCCAAAUCAGGUCAAGGCUAAAGAUGGUAGAUCAAGCUAUAAAGAGAAGGUAGCCAUUGCUGGGAAGACGACAUGUGUAUGCCAGUCCCUGCUUUAACUCUUCUAACAAGAGGUCUUCUUCGUUGCCUUGACAUUAUGUUAUCAUUGUCAUUAUGUUAUCAUGCUGUUCAACCAUCACUCUUACCAGCUCCCAAAUUACACGAUCACCCUUAACUAAAGGACCCUCCUGGGCCUGCCCACGUCUGCACCGAGUGCCUAGCAUAGGCCUGGCGUAGGGUUAUUCCCUAACACAAGUCUGUGAUUAAGCCAGUGGAAGAUGAUGGCCAGCACCCUGAGGAGGGUGUGUAGAAGCUUGGUGGCUAAGGGCAGCAAGAGAAUUCCAAAGUUUUAAUAACAGGAACUUCAUUUAGUAGUGGCAUAUGGUCUGUGUCCUACUUUCCCUCAUGCAGUGGCCUCUGCUCAGGCAGCAAUGCAGCAUGCCCAGGAGGAAACCAUAGCCCAGACAGCCAGCGCAAGCUGGGGAGCAGAAGGCUGCCUUCAUUCUAGGAGAGAAGCUCCCUUCUCUCUCCUUGCCAGGCAAAUGAGCUGAGGGUGGUACCACGACCCCUGGUCAAAGCUUCUAGGUAUCAUCUUUGACUGAUCCCUCUCUGUCACCUCCCUCCUGUAUCCCAUAACUGACCCCUGGGUCUGACCAUCAGAAGGGUUAAGAACAGAAUUCAGUCAACAUUGAGGCCGGUAAGUGGGUGUAUAUUUGGUUCUCCCCUGUGAGUUUCUGUGAUGGAAUAGCAUCUUAAAAAAAAAAAAUUAUUUUUUUAUUUUAUUACGAAAUUUUCAAACAUAAAAGUACAGAAAAUAAUAUAAAGAAUUCCAUACACCCAUCAUCUGGAUUUAACCACUAAUACAUUAUAUUUCUGUCAUUUUUUUCCAAAGUAUCUUAAAACAAAUCCUAGCCAUCAUAUGUCACCCCUAAAUACCUCAAUAUCACCUUUGAAAGAUGGCAUUUUCAUACAUAACUAUAGCACCACAUCACAUAUAUCAAAAUUAACAAUAAUUCUUUAAUAUUUUAUAAUAUCAGUCAAAAUUAAAAUCUUCCUGAUUAUCCUCAUUAUCCAAAAAUGUGUUUUUCCAGUUAGUUUGUUUGAAUUCAGAUAAGGUCCAUACACUGCAUUUGGUUGUGUGUCUCUUCAGUUUCUUUAACCUAGAGGAUCAUUUUGAAGUAUUAACCAGCAUUACAAUGAUCGCGAGGAAGGCACAGGACCGGGCAGUGUUCCUACCAGCAGGAACCGACUUAACGCAACUAACCACCGCCACUGCCGCCACCACCACCACCACCACCAAUGGGUUCCUCUAACCCACCCUCCCCCUGUCAGAAGCAUUAAUGAAUCUCUCCAGGUGUGCUCAGAGGCCUCACUUGAACAGCCCUGGCAGCGAGACCAGAGUCACUAGGGCUUGAAGGAAUGAACUGCAGCAUGCAACCAGGACUUGUGGAUUUUCAAAAUUCCAGGGGUGAGACCAUGAAAUUUGGAAAGACAUAUGAUGCAGUUUCUACCCCCUGGUCCCAGACAAGGUGAAGCAUACACCAGGCUGGGGGAGAGUGAGAGAAGAGAGACCGCAGGAUAGAAGCAGAACCCAGAGAGAGAGCACUCCACUUCCUCUGGGCUCAGGCAAGUGGGCUCCAUUUGAGGAAGCACAUCUGUGGCUAGUGCUGUGGAGCUGUGGGAGUCGCCUUCUUUGGGGUCCUCUAACAGCAGCAGGCAAGUUUCCUUUUGUUUGUCCUGUGGGAGGGACACCCAUAAAUGCCUGGAGAACUGUUCAGUCAAAGGCCCAGGACACGGAGAGUGGGGUCCUGGCUACCCAGAAGGCUGGUGAUGCUUGGAAGAAAGUGCGCCCCCUCCCCGUCCCCCACCCCAGCCUGGCCCACACCACAUUGUGAUCAUCGAGGCAGCUGCGCCGGGUGGCAUAUGCCCUUCUCCUACAUCUUCCUGGGGCCGUCUGUUCACUGACAUACUCCCACGCUCCCUCCGAGCGCUGAGCCACGUGCUGGGCUGAUUUCGCCAUAUUAGAAACUUUAAUCAAAAGAGCAGCAUUUCUUACGUGGGAGGGGGAGUGCCUAGAGGCUGACUCCUCUCCCUGGUACUGUAUUCCAGCUUCAACUGUGCCCCUGAACCUCUUGAUUCCAGAAACACAAGAGCCCGGAACUAACCUAGAGGAGGGGCCUUCAUAGCCCCUGGAGACGAGUGGAGACUGUGUGAGCCAACAGCCAGAAGACAGCUGUGCUUUGGCCUUGGCCACUCCAGAGGGCUGGCCAGCAUUUCUGUUUGUGAAUACUUGUUCCUGAGGAAGGCCUGCCUGUCCUUCACGGAGUGCGUUUGGGGAGUGUGCAUCUUUCUCGAUGACCCAGUUAGUGCCCUGGGGGUUCUUAUCCUCUCUUUACUAGCUUUGGUGGCAGUCGUGCUGCGAAGGCUUCACUCCGAGAGGCUUCCCGCCAGUCCCUUGAGUUCUGACUGUACUGAGAGCAGCAGAACUUUGGGAAGAGGCUGUUGGCCUCCACAUGGAGCACAACAUCUUGGCAGCUGGCAAUCUGGUGUAUAUCUGAUCAGUUCUAUCUGCAAAAUAUUCAGAAAAUUUCUCCCCCAAAGACACGUUGACCUUCUGAAGGAGGGAAUGCAAUGUGAGGAUGUUUGAAGACAUUCUCAGUUUUGAUGAGGCUUAUGCAGAGACCCAAGAUAAGCCUCAGAACAUGAGCAAAGCGGGUGGGAAAAAAGCCUGCUCUGGUGAGUCGCUGCAUCUUCCUCUGCCUUCCAUUUUACAUGUUUACCAAUUGUAAAAGCAAAUCCAGCUGUUGGGAGGAAUUGCUUCCAGAUGACAUUAUGGGAAAGGGAAACACACUUUAUAAAAAAGCGGCAGAAUAAAAAACAGAACAUGUAUGCUCUGUGGGCCAGGCUUUCAUAUGAACGAUUUCCUGAUAUUGUGCAAUAAGCCAGCUCCUGGGGUAAGUAAUAAGAACAGUGCAAAUGUUCUCUGUACUAGAGUCAGGAGACCAGAGCUGGCCCGGGACUUUGCAGAACCUGAUGAAAAUCACUUGACCUCUCCGGGCCACCAUAUUUCUGUUUUUCUCAAAAAUUGCUUCCCACCUUCGCCGGGGAAUCCUGUGCAAGACUUAGGAUAUGUCUUGUGUGUGUGGAAUUAAUGUGAGCAAGAGAAACCAUCAAAAAGUGAGGACAUUUUACUUUUGAAAAUAAGGAUGCAUUUCUCAGCCCCCCAGCACAGAAUUUGCUGUGUUGGCUUUCUCAACAAUUUUAGAAGCUCUCUAACAAGCUGGAAUUAAAGUGUCGCUUUACUAAUUUGGUUUUACAGGUCACUGGAUAAAUCCUACUUAGAGCAGUUUGGAAGAGGAUUAGGACAUUUGCAUAUCUCCCAAGUUGACUUUCCAGGCAGGGUCAGUCAGCAGCUGGAGACUCCCUUGGCUAGGGGCCAGAGCUCUCUCAUAAGCUUUUACAAGUUUUUAAGGGCCUGGUCCACGUUUCUAACUGAGCACAUUGUAACUCUGUUAUCCAAGAAACAGAAAGUUUGCAGGGAAAUUAAGAUGUAAAUGUAUAAAAGGAAGGCAUACAUUCCCCAGUGUGCCUGCCUAGAGAGAAUGCCAGAAAGACCAGCAUCACAGUUCCCCAGGGCAAGGGGAACAGCCAAAAACAUUGUUUUUGCUGCCUCAGCCUUGAGCAACUCUCUUAACCCCUCUUGGGGCAGAGUGGACUUUAGUAGCUAGAGAAUUGCUUAAGCCCCGGAAAUCCCCUUGCCCCUGCACUGUAGCCACUUACCACAUGUGACUAUUUAAAUUAAAAUUAGUUAAAGUUUUAUAAAGUUAAAAAUUCCAGUCUUCAAUCACACUAGCCUCAUUUCAAGUGCUCAAUAGCUACAUGCAGCUAGUCGUUACCAUAUUAAAAAAACCAAACUCAUUGCUGUCAGUUCCCGCUCAUAGCGACCCUAUAGGACAGAGUAGAACUGCCCCCAUAGGGUUUCCAAGGAGUGGCUGGUGGAUUUGAACUGCCAACCUUUUGGUUAGCAGCCAUAGCAUGCUGCAGCUCUCAACUACUGCGCCGCCAGGGUCCCAGGUUGUUUUUUUGGUUACCAUAUUAGUACAAAUAAAAUGAAUAUUGACUUAUUUAUUCAACAAAUAUUAAUUGCGUGCUGCAGCAUUGAAGAAAACAUACAAAAUAUCUGCCCUCAUGGAACUUACAUUCUAAAGGAGAAGAUAAACAAUAGACAAUAAACAUGGUGAGUAAGUAAAUAUUUCUAUCAGUCUCAGUCCUGGCAGGAAACAGAUGGCACACCUAACUGGGUAACUGAGAAGAGUUUCAUAAAGGGAGGAUUUACCAAGAUGUGGGCCGAGUUCAGGGAAACCAGCAAGGAUGGUGCAGUGUCUCAGGGUUUCCUGCUGUGGAGAACCAUUACCCACUCCUAAGCAUGAUGGGGCAUGAAAGCAGUAACCAGUUGCCAUGGACUUGGCUCCAACUCAUGGUGACUUCAUGUGUGUCAGAGUAGAACUGCACUCAGUGGGGUUUUCAAUGGCUGAUUUUUGGAAGUAAACUGCCAGGGCUUUCUUCCUAGAUGCUCUUGAAAGGACUCAAACUUCCAACAUUUCUGUUAGCAGCCAAACACGUUAACCAUAUUAACCACCCAGAGACUCUGAAGGAGCAUAAUAAGGGGGCAAUUACCAAAACCCAGUGAGAAGAUCUGCAGGGAGGGGGUUGCCGGACAGGAGCUGUGGCUUCUGCCUGAGAGACAUGGCCUACACAGGGUAAACUGGGGGGAAGGAUCCUAAGUAUUUACUCUGACCCCAAUCUCUUCCCCUCUCAGAGCUCCUGCCAAGGAAGCCAGAGGCCAGGAGUCUGUUGAUGUAAGCCCUACAGCUCAGUCCCCUGGGGCCCAGAGCAAGGUUGAAAAGAGAGGAGAGUGAAUGGGGUGGGGGUGGGAAGUAUCUAGCAUAAUUAUACAGUAUAUUAGAAGGCAAUAGAUGCUAGGAGGAAGAUACAGCUGGAUAAAAAACAGGAAAACAGGGACAAGAAGCACAGGGCAGGGGAACUGGAGGGGAGGGCAGCCAAGUAAAACAAAUUUUUCUCUUUCAUUUGCCUUCCCACUCCACCCUUCUCCUGUUUUGCUACGACUAAUGGUGUCCCCUCACCCAUGCCCAGCUCCCCCUCUGUCUCUGUGACUCUCCUGCCACGUGUCACCUCCUCUUUCUCUCUGGACACCCUCACAAGUCUCUUGGAGCCAAACCAGUGUAGCUCUGCUUACCCCUAAGUUAGUCUCCGUGGUCUGGUUACCUCAGGAGUACAGGUAGGGCAAGUUUUUAUUUUUAAUUUUAAAUAGGCUUUAUUUUUUAAGAAGUUUGAAUUUCACAGAAAUAUAGAGUUCCCAUAUACCUGGCAUCUAGUCUCCCCUAUUAUUAAUGUCUUACACUAAUUAGCAUGGUACAUUUGUUACAACUAACAAACCAAUAUUGACAUUAUUGUUACAUUAUUGUUAACUAAAGUCCAUCCUUUAUCCAGAUUUCCUUAGUUUGAACCUAAUGUCUUUUUCUGUUCCAGGAUCCCAUCUGGGACCACAUCACAUUUUAGUCAUCAUGUCUCCUUCGACUCCUCUUGUCUGUGACAGUUUCUGAUACUUUGUUUUGUUUUGUUUUUGAUGACCUUGACAAUUUUGAGGAGUUCUGAUUAUAUGAUAGAAUGUCCCUCUAUUGGAAUUUGUCUGAUGUUUUUCUCGUGAUUAGACUGGGGUUAUGAGUUUUGGGGAGGAAGACUACAGAGGUAAAGUGCCAUUUUCAUCACACCAUGCCAAGGGUACAUACUAUCAACUAGUAAAGGUUAAGACUAGAUGUAUUCUAGGAAAAGGGAAAAGAAUGAACUAGCAUGCAUGUUAUAAAGUUCUGUAGUAUCAUCUGGACGAGGUGGUAUUUGACGUGUUUCUCCACUGUAAAGUUACUUUUUUAAAAAAAAAACCCUUUCUAUGCAGUGGUCUGUAGAAGGAAGGUACUACGUGUAGCAGAGUAUAAGGGCGGAGUAUCUACAUAAAUUAUUUGGAAUUCUAUAGGAGAGACUUUUCUCCAUUUAUUCAUUCAAUAAUUUACAUCAUAUGGACUUAUGAAUACUUACUUAACACUUUGGGUUAUAAUCCAAUUCUACUCAAUUAUAUUGCUCAAAUUGCCCCAGUUUUGGCCACUGGGAGCUCUUUCAGUUGGCUCUUUUGUCCCUCUGACAUACCCCCAUCAUUGUGGGAUAUUUCUCCCUGUAUUUCCUUACUUUCUGCCACAAUAAAGUGCUCCAGGCUCAUUGUGUAUAUUCCUGCCCCAGACCUAGAAGAAGACAUUUCUCCAAGGAGCCCUUUUACUGGUGAAUGAUAUUAGAAACCAAAAUCUGGACAUUAGUUAUGCUUGUUGUUACUGGGGUGUUGUUGCUUCUAGACUCUCUCAGCUUGACGGAAAGAAAACAUAUACAGGAGUCAGAAUCACUGGAUACCAUAAGACAAAAACAACAGCAUGCUAAGCCAUGUAUAUUCACAUAUCUAUAAAUAUUUCUACGUAUAUAAUCAUUUGUAUCACUAUUAAUCUAAACAUGAGUUCCUACUGACAUCCCCAAUUCUAAUCCAUUACCAUAUGGAUUAUUCUAGCCUUCUCCCCUUGCUUGUCUGUAGCCUCCCAUUCCAACAGCGAGAAACCUCGCUCCCACCAUCAGGUGGGGCAAUUUUACCGGGUAAUAAAUAUCUACAGAGUUCCUUAUUAUGUGUUAGGCACUGUACUAAAAAAAAAAAAAAAAAAUUUUUUUUUUUUCUGUACUAGGUACUGAUAAUUCAACAUGAAAUAAGAUACAAUGCCUCUCCACAAUAUGCUUAAAAUCUAGUAAGGAAUGUAAAAUACAAAAAUAUCCAAUAUAGGGUAGUAUAAGGUAAGAGUCGUGUGACUGGCAUAAAUUAAGUGAUAAAGGAGUAGAUAGGGAGGAAUCUUUUUUUUUAGCUGAAGCGAUAAAGAAAAGUUUUACCUCUGGUGUGUCAUUUGGGCUCAAUCUCAAAGAAUGGGUUGGGUUUUAACAAGCAAAGAUAAGGCUAGGGUAUAUGCAAAUUGGUAUAUGGGUAGGUACAGGUAUAUGCACAGGUGAGAACAGAUAGAAGUAUCUAUAAAAAAAAAAUAGGUAUGUGUAAAUACAAAUAUGUGGGUGCAGGCACAUAUAUCCAUUGAAGACUCCAAUAGAGAGAUUCCUCAGACAUAGUAACCAAACACCUUCCAAGAUAGGUUUUCUGGGUUUGAAAGUGUAGGACCACAGGCUUAUGGGACAACUCAGUCAAUUGGCAUAACAUCCCAUAGUUCACAAAAAUCAUGAUCUGCAUCCUAAUGAAGUAAGUAGCGUCUGGGGUCUUAAAAGUUUUCGAGCAGCCAUCUAAGACACAGCUACAGGUCUCUACUUGCUAGGAGCAAAACAGUAAGAAGGUAACCAAAAGCACAGAGAAGACACAAGUCUACACGAAUCGCAACCUCAUCUAGUCUGAGGCCAGAAGAACUACCACCACUGACCAUUCUGACCAGGGUCACAACAGUGGUCCUGAAAAGAAUGGAAGAAAAACAUGGGGAAGAACUCAAAUUCUCAUUAAAAAAAAAAAAAAGCCAGGCAAACUGGAA